rnacentral:tRNA from 6 species
GGCGGAGUAGCCAAGUGGUAAGGCGCGGGUUUGCAAAACCUGUAUUCGCGAGUUCGAUUCUCGCCUCCGCCUCCA